rnacentral:misc_RNA from 1 species
GAUGAAGAACGUAGCGAAAUGCGAUAAGUAAUGUGAAUUGCAGAAUUCAGUGAAUCAUCGAAUCUUUGAACGCACCUUGCGCCCCUUGGCUAUUCCGAAGGGCAUGCCUGUUUGAGUAUCAUGAACACCUCAACUCUCAUGGUUUGCCAUGAUGAGCUUGGACUCUGGGGGUCUUGCUGGCCUAUGGUCAGCUCCUCUCAAAUAAAUCAGCUUGCCAGUGUUUGGUGGCAUCACAGGUGUGAUAACUAUCUACGCUUGUGGUUUUCCAUCAGGUAACCUUCAGUGAUGGAGGUUCGCUGGAGCUCAUAAAUGUCCCUCCUCAGCGAGGACAGCUUUUUGAACGUUUGAUCUCAAAUCAGGUAGGACUACCCGCUGAACUUAAGCAUAUCAAUAAGCGGAGGA